rnacentral:misc_RNA from 1 species
UCCGGUUUGUCACCGGCAGUCUCCCAUGAGUCCCCAGCCACCCGAAGGUGCUGCUGGCAACAUGGGACAAGGGUUGCGCUCGUUGCGGGACUUAACCCAACAUCUCACGACACGAGCUGACGACAACCAUGCACCACCUGUACACCGACCUUGCGGGGCACCCAUCUCUGGAUGUUUCCGGUGUAUGUCAAGCCUUGGUAAGGUUCUUCGCGUUGCAUCGAAUUAAGCAACAUGCUCCGCCGCUUGUGCGGGCCCCCGUCAAUUCCUUUGAGUUUUAGCCUUGCGGCCGUACUCCCCAGGCGGGGCACUUAAUGCGUUAGCGACGGCGCGGAUCUCGUUGGUUGAGACCCACACCUAGUGCCCAACGUUUACGGCGUGGACUAC